rnacentral:rRNA from 1 species
AGCUCGGAGACAGGUGCUGCAUGGCUGUCGUCAGCUCGUGUCGUGAGAUGUUGGGUUAAGUCCCCGCAACGAGCGCAACCCCUGCCCUUAGUUGCCAGCGGUUAGGCCGGGCACUCUAAGGGGACUGCCUGCGAAAGCAGGAGGAAAGGCGGGGACGACGUCUGGUCAUCAUGGCCCUUACGGCCUGGGCGACACACGUGCUACAAUGCCCACUACAGAGCGAGGCGACCCAGUGAUGGGAGCGAAUCGCAAAAAGGUGGGCGUAGUUCGGAUUGGGGUCUGCAACCCGACCCAUGAAGCCGGAAUCGCUAGUAAUCGCGGAUCAGCCAUGCCGCGGUGAAUACGUUCCCGGGCCUU